rnacentral:misc_RNA from 1 species
GAUGAAGAACGCAGUGAAAUGCGAUAAGUAAUGUGAAUUGCAGAAUUCAGUGAAUCAUCGAAUCUUUGAACGCACAUUGCGCCAGCUAGUACUCUGGCGGGCAUGCCUGUCCGAGCGUCAUUUCAACCCUCAAGCCCCCGGGCUUGGUGUUGGGGAUCGGCGAGCCUCCGCGCCCGCCGUCCCCUAAAUCUAGUGGCGGUCUCGCUGUAGCUUCCUCUGCGUAGUAGCACACCUCGCACUGGGAAACAGCGCGGCCACGCCGUUAAACCCCCAACUUCUGAACGUUUGACCUCGGAUCAGGUAGGAAUACCCGCUGAACUUAAGCAUAUCAAUAAGCGGAGGA